AUGAACGCUAGCGACAGGCUUAACACAUGCAAGUCGAGGGGCAGCGGGGGUAGCAAUACCCGCCGGCGACCGGCGCACGGGUGAGUAACGCGUAUGCAACUUGCCUAUCAGAGGGGGAUAACCCGGCGAAAGUCGGACUAAUACCGCAUAAAGCAGGGGCCCCGCAUGGGGAUAUUUGCUAAAGAUUCAUCGCUGAUAGAUAGGCAUGCGUUCCAUUAGGCAGUUGGCGGGGUAACGGCCCACCAAACCGACGAUGGAUAGGGGUUCUGAGAGGAAGGUCCCCCACAUUGGUACUGAGACACGGACCAAACUCCUACGGGAGGCAGCAGUGAGGAAUAUUGGUCAAUGGGCGUAAGCCUGAACCAGCCAAGUCGCGUGAGGGAUGAAGGUUCUAUGGAUCGUAAACCUCUUUUAUAAGGGAAUAAAGUGCGGGACGUGUCCCGUUUUGUAUGUACCUUAUGAAUAAGGAUCGGCUAACUCCGUGCCAGCAGCCGCGGUAAUACGGAGGAUCCGAGCGUUAUCCGGAUUUAUUGGGUUUAAAGGGUGCGUAGGCGGCCUUUUAAGUCAGCGGUGAAAGUCUGUGGCUCAACCAUAGAAUUGCCGUUGAAACUGGGGGGCUUGAGUAUGUUUGAGGCAGGCGGAAUGCGUGGUGUAGCGGUGAAAUGCUUAGAUAUCACGCAGAACCCCGAUUGCGAAGGCAGCCUGCCAAGCCAUGACUGACGCUGAUGCACGAAAGCGUGGGGAUCAAACAGGAUUAGAUACCCUGGUAGUCCACGCAGUAAACGAUGAUCACUAGCUGUUUGCGAUACAGUGUAAGCGGCACAGCGAAAGCGUUAAGUGAUCCACCUGGGGAGUACGCCGGCAACGGUGAAACUCAAAGGAAUUGACGGGGGCCCGCACAAGCGGAGGAACAUGUGGUUUAAUUCGAUGAUACGCGAGGAACCUUACCCGGGUUUGAACGCAUUCGGACCGAGGUGGAAACACCUUUUCUAGCAAUAGCCGUUUGCGAGGUGCUGCAUGGUUGUCGUCAGCUCGUGCCGUGAGGUGUCGGCUUAAGUGCCAUAACGAGCGCAACCCUUGCCACUAGUUACUAACAGGUAAAGCUGAGGACUCUGGUGGGACUGCCAGCGUAAGCUGCGAGGAAGGCGGGGAUGACGUCAAAUCAGCACGGCCCUUACAUCCGGGGCGACACACGUGUUACAAUGGCGUGGACAAAGGGAAGCCACCUGGCGACAGGGAGCGAAUCCCCAAACCACGUCUCAGUUCGGAUCGGAGUCUGCAACCCGACUCCGUGAAGCUGGAUUCGCUAGUAAUCGCGCAUCAGCCAUGGCGCGGUGAAUACGUUCCCGGGCCUUGUACACACCGCCCGUCAAGCCAUGGGAGCCGGGGGUACCUGAAGUCCGUAACCGCGAGGAUCGGCCUAGGGUAAAACUGGUGACUGGGGCU
rnacentral:rRNA from 1 species